AUGAAACGGAGGGAGUAUUUAUUGAAGUGGGACAGGCUUAGAUGCAUCUACAAUCCAACAAGUUGUUGCUUUAUCAACUGUAUCGAUCCAAUAAUUAAUGUUGUUCGGUGAAAGUUAGGUGAUAGAAAUUAAUAUCAAACCUUGUGAAAUUGUUUAUGUACACUAUUGAUCUAAAAAGUUUGUAUCAAAGAGAGAAAACUAAGAGGCGAAUUAGUCUUGAAUCGAAGAGUAAAGAGUGAUGGAAUUUGGAAGAGGUGAAUUGAAGGUAAGAGGUACAGCAGUAAUGGAGAAGAUGAAAUCAAUAGAAGAUAUUUUGAAGAUGUUGAUGGAUUCCCCAGUAGGAUUUAUCAUUUCAAUUGGGUUGAUUGUGAUUUUGUUGUCCUUAAUUUGUCGUUGCUGCUGCAGAGGAAAUAAUAAUAGGAGAAAUGUGGAGAUGAUGGGUCGUAGGAAAUAUUAUUGAAGUCAGUGAUCGUAUGAAAAAUUUAACAUCUUAUAUAUACUAGAGUUCAUUUAUAAUCUUUCAACAAAGGCGAUUCAAUUGUUCCACUGGCUCCCCCCCUGAUUAGAGGAAUGUACUAAUGAGUAUUGUGUUGGCUGCACCACCAUGCCCACAGUCUGUAAUUCCUUUCUUUUUGAAUUUGAAGUUAGGAGGGUAUUACACGAGUUUGUAAAUCGAAAUGAAAAUCGAACGUUUCCUAGUUAAAAAGUGUGGAAUUUCGUUUGAAUUAUCAUUUGUCAGGACUCUUUGGCAUAAAUUGCUUGAUUUGGA